GACAACACGAUUCAGACAGCGAGGAAGCAGCUGCCAAACAGCGACAUUCAAAUAGCGCUGCGGGCAACCUGAUUGGCUACAGCUGAGGCAGGGAGGCCGCUGAUUGGCUGAGAACCGGAAUUCAAGGUCAGAAAAGUACUGCCGAAUGAGUCUCCUCUGCAUCUGCUGACCUUCACUCACUGCUUCGACUGUCAGACGCUCUGAACAGAACAGAACAGAACAGAACACACCAGGAACAUGAAAGUGAAAUUAAACCAGGGAUUUUCCAUAAACAGACCAGAGGUCACACAGGAUGGAAGAUCAAGAGCAGAACAAAUGAAAGGGAAACUACAAGUAAACAGAGCCACACAUGGAGAUGAAGGAUGGUGAAACACAAAGUGGUGAAAAAAAGUUAAACGCUGCCAUGGAGAAUCUUAAAUGGUCGCUUUUUCUAUGGAGUUCUGCUGCUUUAGCGGAGCUGCUCGCUAUUAGCGGCUAAUUUCAACUGACAGCCCCUGAAACAUUAAACGGAGCUUUUCUCUGCUUCUCAUCGGCUUCAUAUCUGAGCAAGUAGCGAUAGUAAUAAACAGGUAAAAAGAG